UGCGUUAGCUCCACGUGAAUUUUCACUACUUAAGCUCCUCAGAUCGAUCCUCUUGAUUCAUUCCGCUACACAGGAAGCAAGGAAAACCCACUGUUCUCUCUACUGAAGCUACAAGGACAUCAUCAUCAUACAAUGUCAAAACCCUCGUCCCACGCUGAAGAUUUAUAUCUCUCAUCCUCCACGGAGGAAGAUUCGUCGGCACCGCCGCCGCCACCGCCGAAGGUUGACGUGAUCGACAAAAAGAAAAAAUCCAAGCCGCCAACAUCGACGAGCUCGAGCAAGAGGUCAAAACGUUCGUCCCAUACCGAUUCGUAUCUCUCAUCCUCCACUGAGGAAGAUUUGCCAGCACCGCCACCGCUACCACCGAAGGCUGACGCGGUCGAAAAAAGAAAAAAUCCAAGCCAUCGACAUCGUCAGCAAGCUCGAGCAAGAGGGUCAGAAUAGCUCCUGUGAAGCCGCGGCACGGCACUGCAGCGGAACUAUUCGGUGCCGAUAGCGAUGACGAGGGAUUAGAAGCGAACCAACCUGCAGGGGAGGUGGGAUCACGUAACCGUCCGUUAUCCAGAACUAUUUUAAUGAAAUGUGACAAAUGUCAAAUUAAAUUGCCUAAGAAUGAAUACAAUGCCCAUUUGAGAACUAAUUUACAUAAAUCGAAUUGCAUAUUGAAAACUGAUUUGAAUAAUAUUGAAAUUAUAGCAACAGCCUUUAAAAACAGAAUAGUCACCUAUCGUCUGAAUGCAACACAAAAUGAAUACGUAACUCCUGAGACGUUUUUGUGUGAUAUCAAAAGUAACAUUAUGAAAGUUGUAGAAAUGUCAUUACGGGAACAUAAAAGUAUCAAAAUAAACUAUGAGCUUUUCGUUUACUUUACAUUACCUCAUUCAGGCAAACAACAGUUAAAGUCAUUCAAUACAAAAUAUGAUGUUAUUUAUGAAAACACAAAUAUCAAUGAACUGUUUGAAAAUACGAUUGAACAUUUAAAAAAUAAAGUUAUAGAAUUUGAGCACCGUGAAUCAGGCUGGUCUUUUGUCGCAAUAAGUCAUUUAGAAGUUAACGUAAACAAGUAUUGUCCGAUGCGAGGAGGUACUUACAUACCUUUACCCCCAAGUGUCAAAAAUACUAAAAGCUGCAUUAAUAUUCAAAACAACGAUAAUUGUUGCUUUUUAUGGAGUAUACUGGCUGGUCUAUAUCCUGCAAAGAAUAAUGUGUGUCGAACUAAAUCAUACCCGCACUAUUCAGAUGUUUUAAAUAUCGAUGGAAUGUCAUUCCCAUUAUCAGUCAGCGAUAUACAGUUAUUUGAAAAAAAUAACCCUGAUAUAAGCAUUUGUAUAUAUGGAUUGGAUAAUAAGUAUGCAGUAACAGGUCCUCUAUAUAGAUCCAAAUCAAAGAAAAAUAAUCAUUUUAAUCUAUUAUAUAUUGAAGUCGUUGGUAAAGGACAUUACUGUUUAAUUAAAGACCUGGUACGAUUAGUUAGAAGACAAGUAACUUUACAUAGAGGCCACAUGCAUUUCUGUGACUCA